rnacentral:rRNA from 1 species
UAAAAUAAUUUGAGUUUGAUCCUGGCUCAGGAUGAACGCUUGUAAUAUGCUUUACACAUGCGAGUUAUACUAUAUUAAAUUUAAUAUAAGUAGCGAACGGGUGAGUUUUUGUAGUUUUUUGUUACUUUUUAGUUUAAGAUAAAACGCAACUAAUUAAAUAAAAAAUUUAAAGUUAUUUAAUUAAUUAAAAAAUCGUGUUAAUAUUAAAAAAAAAAUAAAAUUUUUGCUAAAAAAUAUAACUGCAAAAGAUUAGGUUGUUGGUUUUGUUAAAGAAUACCAAGCCUUUGAUCUUAAGUUGAUCUUAGCGGAUGAUUAACCACACUGGAACUGAGACAAGGACCAGGCUUUAUUUAGCCAGCAGUGAGGAAUAUUGGACAAUGAACGAAAGUUUGAUCCAGCAAUAUUACGUGAAUGACUUUUUAUUUGAGAAUAUUAUAAUUUAUUCAAUAUUUAUAUAAUAAAAUAAGGCUUUUUUGUUGUAAAAUUCUUUUUUAUUUUUUAAUAAUGCUAUAAAAUAAAAAAAGUCCCGGCUAAUACUCGUGCCAGCAGCCGCGGUAAUACGGGAGGGGCUAGCGUUAUCCGUAAUUACUGGGCGUAAAGUGUUUGUAGAUUGUAACGUAAGUUAUAUUAUUAAAUCUUAAAUUAUAAUUUAAAAUUAAUAUGUAAAACUGCAUUACUAGGAGUUUGUAUCAGAAGAAUAGAAUUUUAUGAGAAGGGGUAACAUCUGUUGAUUCAUAAAGGAAUACCAUAAAGUGAAGACAAUUCUUUAGUAAAAACUGACAUUGAGAAACGAAAAUAUAGGUAGCAAACAGGAUUAGAUACCCUGGUAGUCUAUAUUGUAAAUAAUGAAUGCUGUAAUUUAAAUUUUUUUUAAAUUGUUUAAGCUAACGCGAUAAGCAUUCCGCCUGAGGAGUAAUGUCGCAAGAUUAAAACUCAAAGGAAUUGACGGGAGCCUACUACAAGUGGUGGAGCAUGUGGUUUAAUGCGAUAAUACGCGCAAAAUCUUACCAGUUUUUGAUUUUUUAAAGUAAAUAAAAUUAAAAUAAUUGUUAAAUUUUAAAUUAAUUUUUUUGUUUUAAAAACAGGUGUUGCACGACUGUCGUCAGUUCGUGUCGUGAGAUGUUUGGUUUAUUCCUUUAACGAAUGUAACUCUUAGCUUUUUAUAUAAUACAUUAUAAUGUUUUAUUUACUAAAUAAAACAAUAAAAAUACUAAAAAGUAACUGUUUAUAAUAAAUAAAAGGAAGGUAAGAAUCAAAGUCAAGUCCCUGUGGCCUUUAUAAACUGGGCUAUACAUGUGCUACAAUGAAAAUUACAAUAAGUUAUAAUUUUUUAUGAAUCUUUAAAAAUUUUCUUAGUUCGGAUUAUAUACUGAAACUCGUAUAUAUGAAGCUGGAAUCACAAGUAAUCGCAAAUUAGAAAUUGUUGUGGUGAAUACGUAUCUUGGUUUUGUACACACCGCCCGUCACAUGCGGGGAGUUAAUAUUGCUUGAAGGUAUAAUUUCAAAAUUAUAUUAAUAAUUUUAAAAUUAUUGAUUAAUGGGAAAAAUAUAUUUAGUGAAGUAUUAAUAACCUGUAUGAAGUCGUAACAAGGUAGCUGUACGGGAACGUGUAGCUGGAAAAAACUUAAAAAAUAUGUUUAUAAGAAAAGAUGACUGAGUGGCUUAUAGUGAAGGUUUGCUAAAUCUUUGUAUAGAA